rnacentral:rRNA from 1 species
AGUGAACGCUGGCGGUAGGCCUAACACAUGCAAGUCGAACGGCAGCACAGUAAGAGCUUGCUCUUACGGGUGGCGAGUGGCGGACGGGUGAGGAAUACAUCGGAAUCUACUUUUUCGUGGGGGAUAACGUAGGGAAACUUACGCUAAUACCGCAUACGACCUACGGGUGAAAGCAGGGGAUCUUCGGACCUUGCGCGAUUGAAUGAGCCGAUGUCGGAUUAGCUAGUUGGCGGGGUAAAGGCCCACCAAGGCGACGAUCCGUAGCUGGUCUGAGAGGAUGGUGAGCCACACUGGAACUGAGACACGGUCGAGACUCCUACGGGAGGCAGCAGUGGGGAAUAUUGGACAAUGGGCGCGAGCCUGAUCCAGCCAUACCGCGUAGGUGAAGAAGGCGUGCGGGUUGUAGAGCCCUUUUGUUGGGAAAGAAAAACAGCAGGUUAAUACCCCGCUGUUCUGACGGUACCCAAAGAAUAAGCACCGGCUAACUUCGUG